UCGAAGAAAUUGAAGAAAUCCUCUGUAAUGGCGAUCCCGAAAUCAGGGCCAAAAUAGCCGAGAUGGCAGCGAAGCUGAAGAAACUUAACGAAUGCUGAUGAAAUAGUGUUCAAAAUAUUAUUAUAUAAAAUUCUUCAUUAGAGUUAAAUCUUUUAUAAAAAUAAAGAAAUUAGAACGUUA
rnacentral:lncRNA from 1 species